rnacentral:rRNA from 1 species
GAUGAACGCUGACAGAAUGCUUAACACAUGCAAGUCGAUGGGGAAGUGGUGCUUGCACUAUGGUAACCAUGGCGGACGGGUGAGUAACACGUAAGGAACUUACCUGCGGGACCGGGAUAACAGCAGGAAACUGCUGACAAGACCGGAUAAGGUCAUUAAGCUGCAUAGCUUAGUGAUGAAAGGAGACGCCUGCGGAGAGCCUUGCGUCCUAUUAGCUAGUUGGAGGGGUAACGGCCCACCAAGGCGAAGAUAGGUAGCCGGCCUGAGAGGGUGGACGGCCACAAGGGGACUGAGAUACGGCCCUUACUCCUACGGGAGGCAGCAGUGGGGAAUAUUGGACAAUGGGGGCAACCCUGAUCCAGCAAUUCUGUGUGCACGAAGACGGUUUUCGGAUUGUAAAGUGCUUUCAGCAGGGAAGAAGGAAGUGACGGUACCUGCAGAAGAAGCGACGGCUAAAUACGUG